CCUGCUCAAUGAAAUAUUUUCAAUAGCCGCUAUUCUAUAGUGCUAAGGUAGCACAAUCACUUGUCUUUUAAUUUAAGAAUAGAAUGAAUGGAUAAACGAGUUAAAACCUUUAUUUAAUUUACAUUAUAAAACUUUUAUAAAAGUAAAAAAACUUUUUAUUAAAGAUUAGACGACAAGACCCUUUAGAACUUUACUUUAAGUUCAGCUGGGGUGGCUUAAAUUACUUAUAAAAACUACACUUCCUAAUACAAACAUCAUAAUAAAAAUAUAACAAGUUACCUAAGGGAUAACAGUAUAAUAAUAUUUUAAAACACAUAUAACAAAUAACGAUUAUAACCUCGAUGUUGAAUUACUUCUCUAUUAAAAGAAAUCUUUUAAAAAGUAAGUCUGUUCGACUUUUAAUAAAGUACAU
rnacentral:rRNA from 1 species